rnacentral:rRNA from 1 species
UACGUAGGGUGCAGGCGUUAAUCGGAAUUACUGGGCGUAAAGCGUGCGCAGGCGGUCUAUUAAGACAGGUGUGAAAUCCCCGGGCUUAACCUGGGAACUGCGCUUGUUACUGGCAGGCUUGAAUCCGGGAGAGGGAUGCGGAAUUCCAGGUGUAGCGGUGAAAUGCGUAGAUAUCUGGAGGAACACCGGUGGCGAAGGCGGCAUCCUGGACCGGCAUUGACGCUGAGGCGCGAAAGCCAGGGGAGCAAACGGG